rnacentral:rRNA from 1 species
AUUGAACGCUGGCGGCAUGCUUUACACAUGCAAGUCGAACGGCAGCGCGGGCUUCGGCCUGGCGGCGAGUGGCGAACGGGUGAGUAAUACAUCGGAACGUGCCCAGCUGUGGGGGAUAGCUCGGCGAAAGCCGGAUUAAUACCGCAUACGACCUGAGGGUGAAAGCGGGGGAUCUUCGGACCUCGCGCUAUUGGAGCGGCCGAUGGCAGAUUAGCUAGUUGGUGGGGUAACGGCCUACCAAGGCGACGAUCUGUAGCUGGCCUGAGAGGACGACCAGCCACACUGGAACUGAGACACGGCCCAGACUCCUACGGGAGGCAGCAGUGGGGAAUUUUGGACAAAGGGCGAAAGCCUGAUCCAGCAAUGCCGCGUGUGUGAUGAAGGCCUUCGGGUUGUAAAGCACUUUUGGCGGGAACGAAAAGGACUGUGCCAAUACCACGGUUCGAUGACGGUACCCGCAGAAUAAGCACCGGCUAACUACGUG